AUAAUGAAAAUUGAUGAGAUUAUAAGCCCAAGGUAGCGCCUCACCAUGAAUACAUAAGGCUACAUAAACGGCUAUAUUCCCAACGGCCAUAUUCCAUAAACGGCUAUCACUAUUCCCUCUCCGUAGGAACUCACCGCCGCCGGUGUUCGUUCUCUUCCCACCAACGGAAUUCCGGCAACCGACGUCUGGGCAGAGGAUUCUACUAAAAGGGAAUCUGGCACUAAGGUUCAUCAUGCUAACAUCCGAGCAGCUAAGGUACCCUACCGGCAAACCAACAAUUGGGAUCAGUUUAUCGGAGUACCAGACAAGAUAACGACCGACAACCAAUUCCAAAUCAGCAAUUCAACAGAGAGAACAUCUUCAACUUCGACGGCACGCCACCAGGAUAGCCACCAGGAUAGCCACCAGCUAAGGGCAUUGUCCUCUUCCCUUUUCUUCCUUUCAUUUAUCUUUUCAUUUAUUUUUUUUAUAUUUACUUAUUGUGUUUGUUUUAGUGUAGCCUAUUGUGUGAUAUUGUUUUGUUGUGCUUUAGUUAGUGUUCUGCACCGAUAUUGGGUCCUCCGGACUCUUAAUCUUGCACACAAUCAGUCCUCUGCAUUACGUGGAGGAUGAUUGACUCAAACUCACACAAAACAACCGCCAAUCAACCCAAGAAACCAAUUCUUGGUUUUCAGGCCAGCCUUGGUCACCCUCUGAUUUGGCUUCACUCACCAACGAGAAAUGACCCCGCACACCCUCCCUCGAGUUCCACUCAAAUAAGGGAAGAUGACACUCUAAAUUGUUCCACAAUUAGAGUGUAGAAGAUGUUCCACACGUUCUUGCAAAGCUGAGAUUGUAAUGACAAACACACACAAAGGAGAGGAAUAUAACCUUGAGGAAAUGAAGAAGAAUUCUUAUUAAUCACCAAACUUAAUGAAUGUACAUGAGAGACAACCUAUAUUUAUAGUUUUCUAGCUAGCUAACGGCUAAUAACAUCACGUGCAUUACAUCAUGUGUUUUAAAGACACAAAACAGAAGCAUAAAACUAAGUCAGAACACUGAUUCUGAUUUCAGCACCAGCCUGCUGACUGGGAAACCUUGCACAUGGAUUUUAGAGAGUUGUGUGAGUCAUCAACAGGGUUCUUGGCCCUUGAUGGCUAGGUCCAUGUGCCAAGAUUCCAUUUCUACAUUAGUCCAGGUCCUGGGUGCACAGGUCUGGUCUCCUCGUGUCGUGCAAGGUGGCUUGGUCGCUAGCUGCUGUGCUGUUCUGUAUGGUCUGUAUGGGCUGUUCUGAUCUGCGAUUGGGUUCCUUUGGGCUUCCGUUCCAAGUGAUUGUGUGCGCUUCCAGCAUGGAUCUUGGACCUUGAUGGCUUGGUCCAUGUAUGGAGAUCACGUUUCCAUGGUUGUUUGGCCCCAGGUCUCCUUUGUUAAGGCUCAAACCACGCUGCAAAGUAAGCUGGUCAGCGGGUGUCUUGCUAUUUUGACCUGCUGCUGUUUUCUGUUCUUCCUAAGCAUUCUGAUGUGUUUGUGGGUUUGCUGUGUUGUUCUUUGUAUGAUAACCUUGAUUCUUUGUGUGAUCUUCAUCCUUAUGAGUUGAGUGAGGUUGAGGUGCAUCUUCAUUAGUUUGUACUGAACCAUGGGCUGAGGUAUGUUUUGAGGUUAGGCACACAUGGUUCAUGUUCCCUUUAAAGUUUUUUUGGUAACCUUUCUAACUUAGUCCUGAGUAAUUGAAUAUAGAGUUAGAAAGCAAUUGUGGUCUUAUUAUUAUUAUUAUUAUUAUUAUUAUUAUUAUUAUUAUUAUUAUUAUUAUUAUUAUUAUUGUUAUUAUUGUUAUUAUUGUUAUCGUUCGUUAUCGUCAUCGGUCUUUGCUUCCUGAGGUUAAGGCUGGCUGUGUCAUUAAUCUUACUUCCAAACUUUUCAUCCUUAGCUGGUUUUGCAUUAUUACCUUUUGAAGUAUUGAUGAAGAACCCAUUAUUUAGCACUUGAAGAAUUGAUGAAGAACUCAUUUGUUGUCUAGUAGGAAUUGGAAUAUAUCCAUCAACAGCAUCCAUAAGUUUAUAAAUUUUAUCAACCCAUUCAUUUUCAGUUUUCACCCCUCUUAAUAUUAGGGUUCUUCAUCAAUUUAUCAAUUCUUAUUUUGAGAUAUGUCUUAUUUUAUUCCCAACAAAUUAAAUAAUUUUUAUUGUUCAUUAUUAGAUCUAAUCUAAAUUAUUAAAUAAAUUAGUUGUGUUAAUUUUAUUGUUAUUAUUAUUAUUAUUGUUAUUAUUGUAAUUAUUAUUAUUAUUAUUAUUAUUAUUAUUAUUAUUAUUGUCAUAAUUAUUAUUAUUAUUAUUAUUAUUAUUAUUAUUAUUAUUAUUGUCAUUAUUAUUAUUAUUAUUAUUAUUAUUAGGGAAAUUAUCAAUGGUGCCCUUGUACUAUUGAAAAAUUACAAUGGUACCCAACUGCAUUUCAGUGGUACCCCCCAAUUAUAUGGUAAUUACAACCGUGACCUUAAUGAUGAAUUUUUCGUUAAAUGUCCGUUAAAUUUGGAAUUUAACCUAAUCAUGGUUAGUUUCUUCAUCUUCUUCCCUUUUCUCUUUCAUGGCUGCUCUUUCCCUCCGUAGCUUGCUCAACAUGUAAACUAGUCCUCCAACUUGAAGGAUAAUUCACCACUUCCAAAGGUUGCAUCGAAGAAUCAACAUCCUCAACAUUAGUUGUCUCAACAAUUUCUUCAAGAUCAUCUACAACCUCUACACAAGAUGCCUCAACAUCUCCUUUAAGAUCAUUAAUCACCUCUACAAAAGAUGCUUCAACAAUUUCUUCACUACCCUCUUCAUUGCAUGAAUCUGGAUAUUCAUCAUAGAUAGGAACCACACUUGAAUACAAGUCGAGUUCCUCUUGUUUAGAAGCAAUUUCAUCACCUUUUGUCUCCACAAUGGAUGGUUCUUGAUUGUUAAAAGAAGAAAACAAUGGUGUGCUGUGUGUAUCAACAUGCUUUGAAAUGAUCUCAAAUUUAAUCCUAACCGGAUCAACAUCAGGAUUAAACUCAUGAACAAUUACCAUUUUAGAAUCUCCAUGUUGCUCUUGCAAUUGUUGUUGAAAUCUCAGCUUUUCUUGACGAAGUUCAAACUUCCUCUUCAAGCUUUGCUUUUGACUCCUAACAUCCACCAAUUUUUUAAGACAAAGACACAAUUGAGCCCAAUCCCUUUGACGGUAACAGUCCACUUUCAACCUCACAAGCCUUUCCUCCUCCAAAUUCAAUAUGUUUAGGUGAAGGUUUUCAAGUGCACACUCUAGUUUAUCCAAUGAUUUAUGUGUGUUCAUGUCUGCUUCCGUUGAUUUCAUAUUCUAAGGCUCAAGAAUCUCUCAAAAAUUAAGUAUGAGAUUAAGGGUAAGAGUGAAAAAGAAAGAAAAACAAAGAAAUGAAGUUUGGAAUUUUUUGUGCACAAAACAGAAAGAAAAUAGAACCAAACACCCCAAAUUCAGAAAUCUGUGUGAAAUGUUUGCUACUGAAAACCCGAACAAACAAAAUCCAAGUAUGAUGAAACUUGGUGACAACACACCUCAAGAUGUCUACAAACACCCCAAAUUGGAAAUACUCAAAUACGUGGUCUAGUUUGAUCAUAAAUCAGAUUUCACUACACACAUACAGUCUGAAUUGUUUCUGUGACCUUUGGUCAAAAACACUUGCGCAUCUUUUUGUUCACAACUCCAAUGACUACACAAAAAGGCUUACCAAAAACUAGACUCAAAAUGAAUCAAUACGAAAAAAAGAAACAAUGAAAAAGACUCAAAAAUGAAGGAGACACAACGAAAAUACGGAAGACAAAUACAAAUGAGACUCUCCUGUACUUUGAGAAACAACAAUGAAAUGGGUCAAUCAAGAAACCUAUGAAACGUAAGAAAAAGCGCACAAAUGAUGUGGUUUAAUGAAUAUAGGAUAUUUAUUGAUAAUUUGGUGAAAGAUGAGAGAAAAAUAAAAGAAUCUUGAUAGGUUUUCGAAGACAACUUACCAAGGUACCCGGAUUUCAUCAGUUUUGGGCAGUCUGUAAAGAAAAAUUCAUAUCUCCUUAACCACAACACCAAAACUAAUGAUUCCAAAGCCAAAACUUUCCCAACUGAAUCCGAAAUACCGUGUAAAAACAGUUUUGAAAACAAACCACAAUACGAUCCCCAAAACACUACUACUUUCGACCCCAAAUGCAGUCAGUUUCUGACAGCUUCUGUUUCUUCUUGUUAUUGCGACUUUUGUCUGUUGUUGCUCAUCAAAAUCGAUUGAAUUAUGAACCCCAAGGACUUUGAGGCUCUGAUACCAAUUGAUCCAAGUACGCGUGGUCAACGCACGAAUUGGAUUUGAAACGAAGAUGAGGGAUAUUCCAAGAAACUGACACGAAGAAUAGGUGUAAGAACUGGACUGCCAGACUCCUUAAUCACUCAACUCUAUGCUUCCUCCUUUGAUCUGCAAGGGAGUUAACAGCAUCUAUUGAUGGGGAGGAGUGGUGUCUUGAUGAACACACAAGAACACGCACAACCUUGAAGGGCAAAAUUGGCCCUUUGUAACCCAAUUGCAAAGCAAUUGAAAAAAAAUUCACUUGAUGAAAUUUCAGAACGUUAUCAUUCAUAACUUCUCAUUACAAUGAACAAGCCAUCUAUAUAUAGACGUAAGGGAAGAGGGAAAUACAAUGAGAAGGCUAAUGACACGUCUAACUAACAAUAACGGUCAUAAAGGAGCACGUGCACAACAUGUGCUUCAUUAAAACAUAAAAACAAGCUGCAAAAGUAUUCUGAAAUUCUGACAGAAGGGCUGCUGACCAGGCGACCUUCCACCCACUUUCUUGUGCUCUUCCCAAGGUUGAUAAUGGCCACUAAGAGUCUUGGUGGCAAGAUUCUAGUGUAGAGAUUCCAUUUCUAUCCUUGGUUGUCCCGUAGAUCAAAAGGUACGUUCAGGCCAAGGCUCACAAGGUCAGCUGGUCAUAAGAUCAGUGCUGAUUUGUUUCGAACCAGCUGCUGACUACACGACCUUGCACACGGAUUUCAGAGAGUUGUGUGAGUUAUUAAUAGGGCUCUUGGCCCUUAAUGGCUAGGUCCAUGUGCCAAGAUUCCAUUUCUACUGUAGCCCAGGUCGUGGAUGCACCGGUUUGGUCUUCACGUGUCGUGCAAGGUGGGUUGUUCGCUAGUUUUGCUGCUGUGCUGUUCUGCUGCUGUUUUCAGUGUUCUGUGUAUGUUGUUGGCUUUCCUUGUUCUUGCCUUUGUAUCUAUUUCUCCAUGAUUAAUUCAUCCCCCUUCCUAGCUGUCUUGGCUCUCAUUUCAUUCAAGAUCCAUGGGUGAAUCACUAAGUGCAGAACCAGAAUCAUCAGAAACAUUAGAGUAGCUUCAGUAGCUCCUGUUGCUCUUGUUGCUUCAGUUGCUAUCUCUGUCUUUGCGGUUGCUUCUUGAUGCCUUUGGGCUUACGUUACUUCCUUCAUCUAAGCCUAGUUGAUUUGGCUCAAUCUCAUCUACAUACAUGUCUUCAAGGUCAUCUUGUAUUGAACCAUGUGAUUGAGAGAUGCACAUGACUUGGGAGAUGCAUGUGCAUAUGGUUGAACAACACACGUCCAUUCAUCCACUUAUUGCCAAGCUACCAAGAUCUAAACCAAUAUGGUUCAAUCCCUCCUUCUUGGAAAAAGAAUUGUCCUCAAUUCUUGACCUGUAUGUUGUGACUAGCUGAAUGUGUGCACAAGAUUGAUGUGUUGUUGGAUAGGACAUCUUCUGAAUUCUGUUGCACGCAAAUAAAUCUGCUGCUGCACCUUCUGUGUUGUCCUUAAUUCUUGAACCAACAAAACAAGAACAGUAGACUAUCAUACUCAUUAAUAGCUUCAUAGAACAACUUCAGUUGCACUAUAUAUACUCAUUAAUAGCUUUAAGGAACAAUUCCAGCUGUUGUUGUGUUUAAGUUGCUGCACUACAAUGUUAAUGUACAUAUAUUUCUAGCACAAACUACUAGCAAACUUUAAUUAAAUUAGGAAUCAGGUUUCCCAUGACCAUUACACAUGUAAGGAAGAAUGUUGUUGCCCUUACUUGCAUAAUGAACCACACCCAUAUAUUAAACAAGCUUACCAAGAAGAUUAGCUUGCUCGUAUUACCAAGGCUACACUCUGCUUGUUGCAUUCUCCCCUUUUUAGAAAAAAUCCUUCCUCGAAUUUUUGUAGGAUGAACCUCAACAAAUCUACUAACAUGAGCAAACUCCACAAAGUGUGUUUGUUUAACCACAUGAUCAAUGUGAACAAACUUUCCCUCCGUAGCUUGCACAACAUGUAAACUAGUCCUCCAACUUGAAGGAUAAUUCACCACUUCCAAAGGUUGCAUCAAAGAAUCAACAUCCUCAACAUUAGUUGUCUCAACAAUUUCUUCAAGAUCAUCUACAACCUCUACACAAGAUGCCUCAACAUCUCCUUUAAGAUCAUUAAUCACCUCUACACAAGAUGCUUCAACAAUUUCUUCACUACCCUCUUCAUUGCAUGAAUCUGGAUAUUCAUCAUAGAUAGGAACCACACUUGAAUACAAGUCGAGUUCCUCUUGUUUAGAAGCAAUUUCAUCACCUUUUGUCUCCACAAUGGAUGGUUCUUGAUUGUUAAAAGAAGAAAACAAUGGUGUGCUGUGUGUAUCAACAUGCUUUGAAAUGAUCUCAAAUUUAAUCCUAACCGGAUCAACAUCAGGAUUAAACUCAUGAACAAUUACCAUUUUAGAAUCCCCAUGUUGCUCUUGCAAUUGUUGUUGAAAUCUCAGCUUUUCUUGACGAAGUUCAAACUUCCUCUUCAAGCUUUGCUUUUGACUCCUAACAUCCACCAAUUUUUUUAAGAAAAAGACACAAUUGAGCCCAAUCCCUUUGACGGUAACAGUCCACUUUCAACCUCACAAGCCUUUCCUCCUCCAAAUUCAAUAUGUUUAGGUGAAGGUUUUCAAGUGCACACUCUAGUUUAUCCAAUGAUUUAUGUGUGUUCAUGUCUGCUUCCGUUGAUUUCAUAUUCUAAGGCUCAAGAAUCUCUCAAAAAUUAAGUAUGAGAGUAAGGGUAAGAGUGAAAAAGAAAGAAAAACAAAGAAAUGAAUUUUGGAAUUUUUUGUGCACAAAACAGAAAGAAAAUAGAACCAAACACCCCAAAUUCAGAAAUCUGUGUGAAAUGUUUGCUACUGAAAACCCGAACAAACAAAAUCCAAGUAUGAUGAAACUUGGUGACAACACACCUCAAGAUGUCUACAAACACCCCAAAUUGAAAAUACUCAAAUACGUGGUCUAGUUUGAUCAUAAAUCAGAUUUCACUACACACAUACAGUCUGAAUUGUUUCUGUGACCUUUGGUCAAAAACACUUGCGCAUCUUUUUGUUCACAACUCCAAUGACUACACAAAAAGGCUUACCAAAAACUAGACUCAAAAUGAAUCAAUACGAAAAAAAGAAACAAUGAAAAAGACUCAAAAAUGAAGGAGACACAACGAAAAUACGGAAGACAAAUACAAAUGAGACUCUCCUGUACUUUGAGAAACAACAAUGAAAUGGGUCAAUCAAGAAACCUAUGAAACGUAAGAAAAAGCGCACAAAUGAUGUGGUUUAAUGAAUAAAGGAUAUUUAUUGAUAAUUUGGUGAAAGAUGAGAGAAAAAUAAAAGAAUCUUGAUAGGUUUUCGAAGACAACUUACCAAGGUACCCGGAUUUCAUCAGUUUUGGGCAGUCUGUAAAGAAAAAUUCAUAUCUCCUUAACCACAACACCAAAACUAAUGAUUCCAAAGCCAAAAGUUUCGAAGACAAAUAUUAUUUUUAUUAUUAUUAUUAUUUUUUUUAUUUAUUAUUUUUAUUAUUUUUAUUAUUAUUAUUUUUAUUUAUUUAUUUAUUAUUUUCAUUUUAUUAUUAUUAUUAUUAUGUUUUUUUAAAAUUUUUUUUAUUUUUAUUAUUAUUAUUAUUUUAUUUUUAUUAAUAUUAUUAUUAUUAUUAUUAUUAGACAAAAUGUUAAAAAACUACCUAGUAUAUACCCCAUUUUGCAAAAAACUACCUUAAUUAAAAAUUUUUGCAAAAAACUACCUUAUAUAAUACAAUUGUUUGCAAAACACUACCUUAUAACAAAUUGUGGUCUUUGACCGCUAUCUUUAACCGUUGACCCGCAUGUGACACGCACGUGAUACUUUAAUUGUAUGACUUCUUCUUCAUUUCAGUUCAGCCCAUUCGAAAAUCCUUUCAAUCCUGCCAUUUCCAGCGACAACUCCAUUGAUGUAGCUUCUCAUUUCGCUCCCAUCCACCUCGUAACUUCAUCUCCUUGAAAUUUCUAAGCAAAUUCGCGAUUUUUCUAUUGAAUUCAAGCAACGGAGAUGUGGUAAUUGUAGUGACCUAGGUCACUACAAAAAAAGCUGCAAGAAUCCACCAAAACCACCACCAACAAAGACCAAGUCAAAGGGUGGUAGGCCUAAAAUGGGAUCUUCUUCUACUCAACAAUCUACAACAAAUGAUGUGCCUAGCUCCAGUGGUCAACAACAAACGCAAAAUGCUGCAUCUACUUCAUGUGUAAUGGAUCAAAAUAGUCAAAUAUAAACUUGUGAAGAGUAAUUUACUGUUGAAUGUAAUGUGUUGAAUUAGUAGAAGUGUAUGAGUUUCAAAUUGUAAUGUGUAUGAACUAAGAAUGUACUAUGUUGAACUGUAUUUUAGCAAAUCAGUGUAUGAACUGAGAAUGUAAUGUGUUGAAUUAAGUGCAACAAAUUUAGUUAUUGUGUUGAAUUAAGUGCAGCAAAUUUAGUUACUGUGUUGAAUUAAGUGCAGCAAAUUUAGCCAGUGCUGAAAAUGAAAGCUGAAGAACAUUCUUGAAUGCAAGCAUGUAAUAGCUGUGCUGAACUGAGAGUGUAAUAGCCAGUAAAUUUGUUAAUUACAGUGACCUCACUGUGUUU